UGUCGGGAACUCCAGGGAGACUGCCGGUGAUAAACCGGAGGAAGGUGGGGACGACGUCAAGUCAUCAUGGCCCUUACGAGUAGGGCUACACACGUGCUACAAUGGCGCAUACAGAGGGCGGCCAACUUGCGAAAGUGAGCGAAUCCCAAAAAGUGCGUCGUAGUCCGGAUUGGAGUCUGCAACUCGACUCCAUGAAGUCGGAAUCGCUAGUAAUCGUGGAUCAGAAUGCCACGGUGAAUACGUUCCCGGGCCUUGUACACACCGCCCGUCACACCAUGGGAGUGGGCUGCAAAAGAAGUAGGUAGUUUAACCUUCGGGGGGACGCUUACCACUUUGUGGUUCAUGACUGGGGUGAAGUCGUAACAAGGUAGCGCUAGGGGAACCUGGCGCUGGAUCACCUCCUUAUACG
rnacentral:sRNA from 1 species